GUUGCGUAGUAUAGGUAGGGACGGUGGCCAUGGAAGUCGGAACCCGCUAAGAAGUGUGUAACAAUUCCCCUGCCGAAGCAACUAGCCCCGAAAAUGAAUGGCGCUCUA
rnacentral:rRNA from 1 species